AAAAGUUGUAUAUGACUUGAAGUUUUGAUUUUAUUAUUUUGUAUAUAUACACAAUUGUGGGACAUAGCCCGAUGAUGUGGCAAGCCUCAUUGAACAGGAAAUCCAAUUAUUUUUUUUUUAUCCUACUUUCCUAUUAAUUUGCCUAUUCAAACGUCACUUCUUCAAAAACCUAAAGUCACGUCCUUUUUCUCUUCUUUCUCGUUAAGAAAACCAAAUAUGAUAGGCUUAAAAAUCCAAACUAGAACGUCUUUUUCAAACCGUUGCUUGCAACGUUACAAAUAACAGUUUGCUUGCCCGUUUUCUUUUAUCUCUUCACUAAUGCCUAUUAAAUAUGCCUGAAAGCACAAAUUUCUUUAUUCAAGUUGAACUUGCCCGUUUCACACCCUUCUGCGAUAUCUCGCAAGGUUUAUUUUGGAUGAUAUAUAUGAUGCCACAAAUAGCGCAACGGAAAGUCGGAAUAUGUUUAUGGAAAUGGCUAAAAGAAAAUGGAAGGUAUAUUUUAGUAAAUUGCUCGUGUAUAGGGAGGUGUCUUGAUAAAUUUUUAUACUGUAUUUUUCACAAUAAAUACAGAGUCUUACUUUAUACAUGAGGUUGAAUGUGGUUUUUGGGAUAAUAUCUCUGUUCUUGUAGCUAUGAAGUGAUUGUGCCCUUCAUUGCUUAUUUGAGAGCAAUAAUAGGUAAUCUAUUUUUUUGUUUGUAGAA